rnacentral:misc_RNA from 1 species
GAUGAAGAACGCAGCGAAAUGCGAUAAGUAAUGUGAAUUGCAGAAUUCAGUGAAUCAUCGAAUCUUUGAACGCACCUUGCGCUCCUUGGUAUUCCAAAGAGCAUGCCUGUUUGAGUAUCAUUAAAUUAUCAACUGUACCAAUUUGGUUGCAGAUUGGAUGUGGGAGAUUUUGCAGGCUUUUGAUUUCUCUUUGAGAAAACGGUCAGCUCUCCUGAAAUAUAUUAGCAGUGCCUUUGUUGGUUCAUUAGGUGUGAUAAUUUAUCUACAUCUUCACAUGGUACCUUCAUUUGUGUAAAGGUCAUAUUGCUUCUAAUUGUCUUUGGACAUAAAAAAAAAAAAACAUAUAAUUGUAUGGAAAACUUGAUCUCAAAUCAGGCAGGACUACCCGCUGAACUUAAGCAUAUCCAAUAAGCGGAGGA